CUCUCCCUGGCUCGUCCAUGCAGUCGAACGAUGAUGCCCAGCUUGCUGGGCGGAUUAGUGGCGAACGGGUGAGUAAUACGUGAGUAACCUGCCCUUGACUCUGGGAUAAGCCUGGGAAACUGGGUCUAAUACUGGAUACUACCUCUUACCGCAUGGUGGGUGGUGGAAAGGGUUUUACUGGUUUUGGAUGGGCUCACGGCCUAUCAGCUUGUUGGUGGGGUAAUGGCUCACCAAGGCGACGACGGGUAGCCGGCCUGAGAGGGUGACCGGCCACACUGGGACUGAGACACGGCCCAGACUCCUACGGGAGGCAGCAGUGGGGAAUAUUGCACAAUGGGCGGAAGCCUGAUGCAGCGACGCCGCGUGAGGGAUGACGGCCUUCGGGUUGUAAACCUCUUUCAGUAGGGAAGAAGCGAGAGUGACGGUACCUGCAGAAGAAGCGCCGGCUAACUACGUGCCAGCAGCCGCGGUAAUACGUAGGGCGCAAGCGUUGUCCGGAAUUAUUGGGCGUAAAGAGCUCGUAGGCGGUUUGUCGCGUCUGCUGUGAAAGCCCGGGGCUCAACCCCGGGUCUGCAGUGGGUACGGGCAGACUAGAGUGCAGUAGGGGAGACUGGAAUUCCUGGUGUAGCGGUGAAAUGCGCAGAUAUCAGGAGGAACACCGAUGGCGAAGGCAGGUCUCUGGGCUGUUACUGACGCUGAGGAGCGAAAGCAUGGGGAGCGAACAGGAUUAGAUACCCUGGUAGUCCAUGCCGUAAACGUUGGGCACUAGGUGUGGGGGACAUUCCACGUUUUCCGCGCCGUAGCUAACGCAUUAAGUGCCCCGCCUGGGGAGUACGGCCGCAAGGCUAAAACUCAAAGGAAUUGACGGGGGCCCGCACAAGCGGCGGAGCAUGCGGAUUAAUUCGAUGCAACGCGAAGAACCUUACCAAGGCUUGACAUUCACCGGACCGCCCCAGAGAUGGGGUUUCCCUUCGGGGCUGGUGGACAGGUGGUGCAUGGUUGUCGUCAGCUCGUGUCGUGAGAUGUUGGGUUAAGUCCCGCAACGAGCGCAACCCUCGUUCUAUGUUGCCAGCACGUGAUGGUGGGGACUCAUAGGAGACUGCCGGGGUCAACUCGGAGGAAGGUGGGGAUGACGUCAAAUCAUCAUGCCCCUUAUGUCUUGGGCUUCACGCAUGCUACAAUGGCCGGUACAAAGGGUUGCGAUACUGUGAGGUGGAGCUAAUCCCAAAAAGCCGGUCUCAGUUCGGAUUGAGGUCUGCAACUCGACCUCAUGAAGUCGGAGUCGCUAGUAAUCGCAGAUCAGCAACGCUGCGGUGAAUACGUUCCCGGGCCUUGUACACACCGCCCGUCAAGUCACGAAAGUUGGUAACACCCGAAGCCGGUGGCCUAACCCCUUGU
rnacentral:rRNA from 1 species